rnacentral:misc_RNA from 1 species
UCAAACUUGGUCAUUUAGAGGAAGUAAAAGUCGUAACAAGGUUUCCGUAGGUGAACCUGCGGAAGGAUCAUUAUUGAAUAACACUUGAUGGGUUGUAGCUGGCUCCUUGGAGCAUGUGCACACUUGUCUUUGUUAUAUUCAUCCACCUGUGCACCAUUUGUAGUCUUAGAGGGUUGAAAGGACUGGCUGACUUCUUCAGUUGAAAAACUGGAUGAGAGGAUUGCAUGUGCAUAUGAGUGCAUGCUAUUCUCAGCAACUCGGACCUGUUAAAAUUCUCAAAGUCUAUGUUUUUCAUUUAUAAACCAUGUAGUAUGUUGCAGAAUGUAAAAUCAAAGGGCAUCUGUGCCUAUAAAACUUUAUACAACUUUCAGCAACGGAUCUCUUGGCUCUCGCAUCGAUGAAGAACGCAGC